rnacentral:lncRNA from 1 species
GUUCAGUGGCUGCUUGAUUGGCGCAGCUUCGCACGUUUUCUAUGGCGCUGCGCUUCUUGUUCGCGAAAAAUGGACAUUUCCAGCCUGCGGAUUUUCACCUCCUACGGACGUCCACAUUUACUCAUACCAGAGCAGGACCAUAGCAAAAUCAGUCAAGUGACCUGGCUGCACAGUUCUCGGGUAAAUGGGCUUACGCAAUUCAAGGAAGGACAUUUUCAAGUACCCAUACAAGACUCAUUGAUGAAUUCAGAUUUUACGUUUGUCACAACCACUAACCUACUAUUACCGCAUUUCACAACAAAGUAUUCCAGUUUCUGUUGUGUUUGUAUCUAAAUAGUUCAAUAAAAGUCGACAAAAA